GUGUGACUGUAUCAGUUUCUGUAAUUCAUUCUCAUUCCUGAUUUCCCCCAGGCACUGAGGCAGUUCUUCUUCCUAAUGCUUCGUUGUACCAGCUAAUACUGUAAUAACAAUUUGUGCUUCAGUAGCACCUUUACACUGAAAUAGUCAAAAGUAGGCCCCAGGAAUUUAUAUCAUGUCACGCAUCUUUCUCCAGUAACAUUAGAUGGUUUUUGCAGCUGGUUGUAUUUACAGGAGCCCCAGUCAAUCCCCCUCCAGCAGUUCUGGCACUUCAGUAGUUCUGUCUCAGUGAGAAUUAUGAACAAGGAUAAAAGCUCUCCAGCAGAGCAUCCCAAGGGAGACAGUGUUCCAAGGCCUUUCAUUUCGGGGAGUCAUGUCAUGUUGACAAACCAGGUCUAACAGCCACAUCUCCUGGGGUGCUCACUGGGAAACGGGGUUCUGUGCAUAUCUUUUGUUCUCUGAAAGUUUGUGCCUUGAAGAGAUUUGGGGGUUCAGGUUGUGCUAUGUGGACUGUUUAAGAUUUACACCUGCUGAAAAAGAAGCAAGAAGGAGAAGGAAGGAAUAUUUAAUUAAACCUUUUUUAAAGAGAAGCUAAGAGGGGCCUUUUGUCCCUUUUUUUUUUUCUUUUCCUCCCCCUUGCAGUUUGUCUCUUGUUUCAGAUGAAUGAAAGCAUCUGUAUGUACCUGAAAACAUGGGGUGUUCAUGGCUGAGCUCAUGAAUCUUAUGUACUGUGAGACUUUGAUGAACUGAUAUUUACCGUGAUUUAUCAUUUUUUAGUUAUCUAAGGGAGAAAUUUUAUUUUCAGAUGAACUGAGAUGUCCACAUUUUAUAUCAUGCCUUAGGCAACUCUUUAACUAUUCAUGGGGAUCAAGUGGUUAAUUCUGUUGAAGUUUGGUUCGGUUUUUAAGUGGCCGUAGCAGCGUCCUGUCUGUUCUCCCACUGGCGUGGGUGGGUGUAGGAUCCUGCAUCCCGGCAGCUCCCGCAGUCCCUGCGGAUACUCCGCUGCGCUGGUGUGGAACCCAACCCCCCCAACCUCUCCUUGUUGAUUUUGCGGCUGAUGUUGGAAUCUGUGCCCUGAGCUGCAGAUGGAAGUGUGUUUCAAACAGCACAGCCAGUUAUUCAUUUGCUUGUUCCUUGUAGCCACGAGAUCUUUGUGUUGUGGCUUUAAAAGGAAAAAAAGGAGCAGCAGCAGCAGCUGUGCUGGUGUGAGCAGCAACCAGGAGCGGUGACACGCGUCGAGCCGGCGGAUAAAACACAACGGUGGAUAAAACAGACCAGCUCAGGGGGCCUCUACAGGGCUGCAGAAAUCCCUCAGCAAUUUUGGCUAUGUCUGCAGAUCUGUAAGAGAGGAAAAUACAAGCACACCAGGUCUGGUAUAACUGUGCAGCCUCUUGCCUCCACAGCAUCCAUCUCCCUCAGGCAGCAGAUGGAUCUGGGCAUUCCAUUCCUCCCAUGCUGUUCCACAGGGAUUCUUCCCUGGCUCAGCUGUAGUUUUGAGGCGCAUUUUGCCAAAAGGUAAUCAAUGGCAGUACAGUGAUAAUAUUUAAAGCUUUAAAAUAUACAUUGCAUGAAUGACAACGAUUGAUAAAUGUUCCACAGGCUUCCGUUUGCUCCUCAUCUCCCACCCCCUGACCUGCCACCUUCCUGCUGGCCUGACCAACAGGCACUGCUUACUUGCACCUGCUGUACUGGUUGGAAUAUGUGACAGUGCUGCUUGCAGAGACAACCCCUGAUUCCUGCUUUAUCUACUUGAUGCUGACAGCACUGCAUUUCUCCACCCGUCUGUUUGGAGAGCUUGGAAGAGAUAAGGGAGUCAGGGAUCAAUGGGAGGCAGCAGUGUGAGGGGCCAGGAAAUAAGAGUAGGGGAUCAGCUGCAUGAUGAGCAGGAGAAAAUACUGUAUGAAUAUUAAAUGUUGUGAGUGGCUACGAUAAAGCUCAUGUAUUCACAGAGUGCAGAUUAGAUAUCUUCACUUUAUAGAAAGAGAGGGAAAAGUUAUGUUUGAUAAAACUCUUUAGGGACACCAAAGGAACUGAUUUUUUUAAUCAUUAUUUUUGAAACUGAUAUAUAAGCCUUUUCUGUGGGUAGGGUGGGGUUUUUUAAAUGCCUAACAGAAUGGCAGUGCCAUUUUAUGAUUCAUCAUAUUUGUCACAUUUCUCUUAUUUUAUUCCAACUCUGAACAAAAAUAUGUGAGAGAAAGUUCUGCUCCUUUUCUUUUGUUUGUAGAAGUCAUGGUGCAUUUGAGUGGAAAGUACAGCAUUUAUGAUUUUUUUUUUAUUACCUGUUCAGAAAAGGUAUUAAUGAAUGAUCAGAUAUGCCAGUAAAUCCCAGCUACCAGCACAGCCCAGUCUGGACCUACUGGUGAGAGCCAAGUUUUCUUCUGAGAGGGAAAAGGAGGUGCUGGGGUCUGCAGGCAAAGUUUGGGUGAAGUUUCCAGCCCAGGAGGGGAAGUGGUGACCCUGAAAGUCAGUGCUGUGUGUGGGAGGUUUUAAAACUCGAUUAAAAAAUGGCUGAAUUAGCUUGUAUGUGCCCAAGUAACGAGCCCUCUGGCAGUGGAGCAGGACAGUGACAAGUCAUGAGGGCAGUUAUGAGCCAAGGUAGGGCCACACAAUAAAGAAGCGUUUUGUAGGAAGAAACUUUUGGUAUGUUGAUUGUUAAUUUAUCCCUUCCCUCUGUAAGUGCUGCAACAUUUCUGCCACUUUCACUUUGUUUUCUUUUUAGGUUCCUUUUGCUUGACUUCAAUACAUGAGGAGGUGGCAAUUGACAGCAGGAUGUGGUGUUUGUUAAACACUGAGCUCCAAUAACAAAUAUGGGACUCAGCAGUGUUUUGUUGUAGUUACAAGAAGAAGGAAAGCAUCAUUUUGCCUGAAAGUCUGCAGUGGUACGAGGAGAAAUACAGGAGAAAGCUGUUGUCACACUGUGAACAUGAUUGAUUCCAUAAGUAACUCCCUUGGCAAACCUCUGAGGCUUCACUGAUGUCAGUUAGUGCUUCCUCCUGCACACGAGGGCAUGUCCAGUUUAGACUGAUGGACUGAGAUGUGAAAAGAAGUUCUCUUGACCUAUUUGGUAAAUUGUCCUCUUUUUAACCUCCUUUCACGGAGAAAAUGUGUUUGCCUUGAGUUUCCUUGCUUCUGCAUGUCUUCAUUGCCUUCAGAAUUCCAUGGCUGAACUUCACUGGUAUCCUUUUAUUGAGGAAAGAGAGUUUAAUAUGCCCAGCUGGAAGAAGAGAAGACCUCAGACUGCAAAUUUUUUACAAGAGAUGAAGGAAUCAUCCUGACUAAGGAAAUGUUGAUGGUGAAAAUCACGGAGGAAUAUGGGUAGGCUGGGGAACAGCACCUUCCUGUGCAUCGGUGCUGUAAUCCCUAGAGACUGAGAACUGGGUGAGGGAGUGCAGAGCAGCAGAACCAAAAUAGCCCUGGUUGCCAUGAGGACACAAGUCCUUGCCAAGUCACCCGGUUGCUUUGUAUCUCAUCGAGGGAGGUGUAAGCACACCCCAUGUGCUGUUUAAUUCCAUGGGGAGAGGUUUCCUUCCCCAGAGCUGCUGCAGCCAAGGAGUGUUACUGCUCCAGUCCCUCACUGCUGCAGUUCUGGUCACUGUGUUGGGAAUAUUUGGUUAUUGCACCCUGCCAACAUGAUUAUUUUCAGCUGUAAAUACUUGCCUCAGUAGAGGUUUUCCAUAUAUUUGAAUUCUUUCUGAAGGUAUUUCUCUCCCAUUGCUGCUGCAUAGAAGAAACCUGGAAGGGAAGGGAUCAGGUGCAAGUAAAGCUCCUGAUGUGUCUUGCAGGCUUCUGCUCCUUCAGUUCCUCACACAGCAUUGGGAUAGUUUUAUUUUACACUUUCCAUUUAACCUUCAGAUCAUCAAAACCCAUCUUUGCCACCUGCACUGAGUGGGGAUAAUUCCACACUGUACAAACAGCCCCACUGAUGUUUGUGUUUGCUUGCUGGGGGGGAUUUGAACCCAUUACUUUAAAGCACAGUGAUGGGAUUUGUGCUUUUCAGUUUUGUUUUAUUUUCCCAGAUGUGAUGUAAACUCUCUGUGGACUCUUCCUUGUGCUAUGCCCGAGUGCUGUGGUCCUGCUUAUUUCAGUGUUCAGUGGUCUCAGCUCUCCUGUUCUGAAGGCAAAUGAACAUGGUGCUGUACAGGUGUGUGUGGUGCUGUACAGGUGUGUGUGGUGCUGUACAGGUGUGUGUGGUGCUGCACAGCCCAGCCAUGGGCCGUGGCCAGGUACCAGUCCCCUGGGGCUGUGCUUCCCUGGCUGUGCUUGGAGCCCAACAGGGUCCGUAGGAAAUGGGCCUAUUUUGUGUUAGCACAGCAGAACAAAACACUUUCUUUCAUCUUUCUUGUUUUGAUUGGUAACUGAUUCUUGUGAAUUUGGACUCUGAAUACUGAGCAGUAAAUAUUUAUGAAAUGUAAUGGCCAAGACUAAAUACAGUCAUUAGCAUAUUUAUUUUUAUUGAGUUGUUGCUUUGUGUGCCUGAGGAAAUUAUCAAAUUGCUUCUAUUUGAACUGCUAUGUACAAUUUUAGGACUGUCAUUUUUAGUCUCGCAUCACUCUGGAUUUUGGAAUUAGAGUAGGGAGCAUUUGUGUCCUCCCCCAGCCUCAAAAUAGAAGUUUAUGAAUAAUGAAAGUUGAGUAAAAUCCAGUCCAGGUUGCCCAUUUGCAUCCUGCUCGGUGCCAGGAACAAGAGGUGAAGGUUUCUUCUGGGACUGUGGUGCUCUGUGUGAGGCCCUGAAGAGUGGGCAGGGUGGUGGAACCACCUCAGCUCAUCUCCCAGGGCUUUGGGGGCCCUGGGCUGCAGGGGAGCAGCUCCAACCUGCUCCAGGUACUGCUCUGGGGUGCAUCCUUUGCUGGAGCCGAAGCCAUCCCACUGCUCCAGGUUAUCCCUGUGUUUCCCCUGGGAGCAGUCCAUGACUCGGAGGGCUAAGGAGCUCCUGUUCAGUGGGCAGGAGUGAUGGGGACACAGGGGUGUGAUGGAUUUGUUCCCUGGGGAGUGUGUGUGGUGUCACCAUAUCCAACAUUCCAGUGAUCCCAGUGAGUGGUUGACUUCACCCAUCUCUAACUUCUUUCAGGAAUAACUUGCCUUUGUUUUUUUCUCUGUGGGUCUUUUCGUUCCUUCUUGCUGCAUACUGGCAUACCAAGGUAAAGAUAAACAUUUUCAGAUACAGAAAAUAAAUGGACCGGAACUUAUA